AGGGCCGUUCGGCGUCCCAGGCGGGGCGCUGCGGGACCGCCCUCGUGUCUGUGGCGGUGGGAUCCCGUGGCCGUGUUUCCUGGUGGCCCGGCCGCGCCUGAGGUU
rnacentral:pre_miRNA from 10 species